AGGUAUCUAGGGGGCGAAGGAAAUGUCCUAGAACAACGAUUUUUUCGUCAGAUCGUGUCUAGCGGGCGAACGGAAUAUCCUAGGUCAUCGUUUCUUUCAUCAGAUUGUGUCUAGCGGGCGAACGGAAUGUCCUAGGACCACGAUACUUUCAUCAGGUUGUAAGUAUUGAAUUUGUUUAUCAUUUUCAUGAAUAAUUUGUGUGAUUAGCACCCGGGAAACCUGCAGAAAGAUAAUUUUUGUGCUUCGAAGUACUGAUUUUUGGUAGUUUUGGGCGUCUAGGGGGCGAACUAAAUGUCCUAGGACAACGAUUUUUUAAUCUAAAGUGAAUUAAAUGUUAAAUAUUAGCAGUCGUAAUGCAGAUUUCUGUAAUUUCAAAGUUUCGAAACUUGAUGAUGCCGGCUAUCUUUAAUGUUUUGUUCCGACACACCUAGAUUGCGCUAGUGUCAGCUAUCUAUUUUGUUUUGUUCCGCUACGGUCAGAUGACGCUUCCAUCGAUUUGGUUUAAAUUCAUACUUAAUUUUUGUGUUUGUUUUUGUGCGCUGAGUUGCCGUCGUCACUUUUAUGUAAUAAUAACUUUAUUUAAUAACUUGCAACAGAUUUGUUGUCGCAUUUCUGUCGUAUGCUUAUAGUAAAAUGCCUUUCCAUCUGCGGGUCGAUUAUCAAUCUGUCUUGCUUAGUUCGGCUUAGUCGGUUGAGCGCCGUUGCGAGUACGCACGUGUUUUGUUCAUUAAUCGAGCGUGGUGACAUUUUCUCGCUAUUCUUGAUAUUUUGUAACAUUACUUAAAUCGAUUGACGAUCAGGGGCAUUUAGUAGUAACAGCCCACUGCCGCGGGCAACGAAUGAUUUGAAUAAUUCUAUGCGGAUCGCGCGUGGUGUCCGUCGGAUAUGUUCCGGUGACUAUGAAUACUUACUGGAGUUAAAUGAAGUUAAAUUUACGUGUUUGACGUGAAUAUCUGCGUGGAAUAGAAAAGAAGUGUGUAUCAUUAAUUAUACAUACAAUUUGCGGAAACGUGUUUGUGCGCCUUAGUCCUUUAUUGAUAUAAGAACAAAGGAGUAAGUAACAUCAAAUAGAAUUAAUUUUUAUUUAACUUUUUAAAUCUUACACCAUGUUACUGCUUUAUAAUAAUUGAAAAUGAAUCAGUCAAUAAAGAUUUAAUUUUA